rnacentral:lncRNA from 1 species
GCUGAACUUUAGCACUGAUUUUAGACUCCCAAAGAGCUGGAGGUGUAAAGUCAGAGGUGACUUCACCACCAUUUCUGUAGUGCUUGCCACAACUUUGAUAGCAGUACAGGAUGGAGGAUCAGCAAGGGAAAGGCAAAAUACCAAGGGUUUCAUGUCCAGAAAUUAUGAAGUCACGUGGCAGCUCAGAAAUACACUCUUGAAAUGGCGACAGCAAAACAUGUAUGGGAACUGCUGAGUCAGGGCCUGAAGCAGUGAUGGAGCACCUGGGGAAAGGACCCGGUCAGCCCUGGGAGCACAGGUGAAGGCAAUGCAGCUGUGUGAUAGGAAGGGGUGGAGCCUGGCUGCACCUCUCUUAGACCUUAUUUAAGGGCUGACUGUCCCUUGGGAAGGGUCUCUUUCUGGAGAUCCCUCCUUGGUGGGGCUUUCUGCUGUGAACCUGGAAUCUUCUGAUAUGGGCUCUGGAAAUCUCUGGACUCGUUGUCAGGAAGGUGAGCACAAAUAUGACUUUUUCAGCACUGAAGGCAUUAAUGGCAUUCAGCAAAGUAGACAGCAGGAGCUGGAGGCUCAGAAGAAAUACACUGUGCAGGCUGUCAGCAUGGAGACACUGAGCUCAACUUCACCACGACAGGCAGCCCCCAGCACAGCUGUAACAAAGAGGUGCUUAAAGCCAGACAGAAUCCAGACUGCCACAGGAGGAGAAGAAAGGAAGACGAGAAGAAAGAAAAUGAGAUGGGAUUUUCCUUAUCUUCCUCUCGCUGUGGGAACUGCUGAGCACAUGCUGGCUGCAGGGGAGACCCCAGAGUGCUUCCUUUCCUUCGUGCUGUGCCCACCCUGUGGAAUACAGAGCCAAUUUAGAUGGCAAUAUGUGCUGUUUGAUAUGAAGUGCAACACCUGGCACCCAGGACUGCCUUCAGUUCCUGAGGAUGGAGGUUAAGGAGAACAGAGGGCUGCAAAUUACCAACAGCAAAGGGAAGAACUGCAAGCAAUGAAUAACGAGAAGCAAAUAUUUGGUCAGGCACACAAACACAGGCAACACAAUUCAUGAAUGAAUGAAAACCAACGGCCACUCCCAAAAUAUCUCAGCAAAGGAAACCUGCUGACAUAAAUAUUUGCAAAUGGCACAUGAGAGGCUGAGCCAGAGGGGUUUGCAAACAUUGCCUGAG